rnacentral:rRNA from 1 species
CAGUAGCCACGGGAAUACAGAGGGUGCGAGCGUUAAUCGGAUUUUCUGGGCGUAAAGCGUGCGUAGGCGGCUUCUUAAGUCGGAUGUGAAAUCCCUGAGCUUAACUUAGGAAUUGCAUUCGAUACUGGGAAGCUAGAGUAUGGGAGAGGAUGGUAGAAUUCCAGGUGUAGCGGUGAAAUGCGUAGAGAUCUGGAGGAAUACCGAUGGCGAAGGCAGCCAUCUGGCCUAAUACUGACGCUGAGGUACGAAAGCAUGGGGAGCAAACAGGAUUAGAUACCCCCGUAGUCCCUGUCUCUUAUAC